UACGUAGGGUGCGAGCGUUGUCCGGAAUUACUGGGCGUAAAGAGCUCGUAGGUGGUUUUUCGCGUUGUCCGUGAAAACUCACAACUCAAUUGUGGGCGUGCGGGCGAUACGGGCAGACUGGAGUACUGCAGGGGAGACUGGAAUUCCUGGUGUAGCGGUGGAAUGCGCAGAUAUCAGGAGGAACGCCGGUGGAGAAGGCGGGUAUCUGGGCAGUAACUGACGCUGAGGAGAGAAAGCGUGGGGAGCGAACAGG
rnacentral:rRNA from 1 species